rnacentral:rRNA from 1 species
AGCGAACGCUGGCGGCAGGCCUAACACAUGCAAGUCGAACGAACCUUUCGGGGUUAGUGGCGGACGGGUGCGUAACACGUGGGAACGUGCCUUUAGGUUCGGAAUAACUCAGGGAAACUUGUGCUAAUACCGAAUGUGCCCUUCGGGGGAAAGAUUAAUCGCCUUUAGAGCGGCCCGCGUCUGAUUAGCUAUUUGGUUGAGGUAAUGGCUCACCAAGGCGACGAUCAGUAGCUGGUCUGAGAGGAUGAUCAGCCACAUUGGGACUGAGACACGGCCCAAACUCCUACGGGAGGCAGCAGUGGGGAAUCUUGCGCAAUGGGCGAAAGCCUGACGCAGCCAGGCCGCGUGAAUGAUGAAGGUCUUAGGAUUGUAAAAUUCUUUCACCGGGGACGAUAAUGACGGUACCCGGAGAAGAAGCCCCGGCUAACUUCGUG